CCUACGGGUGGCAGCAGUGGGGAAUAUUGGGCAAUGGGCGCAAGCCUGACCCAGCAACGCCGCGUGAAGGAAGAAGGCUUUCGGGUUGUAAACUUCUUUUCUCAGGGACGAAGCAAGUGACGGUACCUGAGGAAUAAGCCACGGCUAACUACGUGCCAGCAGCCGCGGUAAUACGUAGGUGGCAAGCGUUAUCCGGAUUUACUGGGUGUAAAGGGCGUGUAGGCGGGACUGCAAGUCAGAUGUGAAAACCACGGGCCCAACCCCGGGGGUGCAUUUGAAACUGCCAUGAUGGCGUGCCGGAGAGGUAAGCGGAAUUCCUAGUGUAGCGGUGAAAUGCGUAGAUAUUAGGAGGAACACCAGUGGCGGAGGCGGCUUACUGGACGGUAACUGACGCUGAGGCUCGAAAGCGUGGGGAGCAAACAGGAUUAGAUACCCGUGUAGUC
rnacentral:rRNA from 1 species